rnacentral:rRNA from 1 species
ACCUCAAAAGGAANUACGGGGCCCCGCACAACGGUGGAACAUGUGGUUNAAUUCGAAGCAACGCGAAGANCCUUACCAGGUCUUGACAUCCUCUGACAACCCUAGAGAUAGGGCUUUCUCCUUCGGGAGCAGAGUGACAGGUGGUGCAUGGUUGUCGUCAGCUCGUGUCGUGAGAUGUUGGGUUAAGUCCCGCAACGAGCGCAACCCUUGAUCUUAGUUGCCAUCAUUAAGUUGGGCACUCUAAGGUGACUGCCGGUGACAAACCGGAGGAAGGUGGGGAUGACAGUCAAAUCAUCAUGCCCACUUAUGACCUGGGCUACACACGUGCUACAAUGGACGGUACAAAGAGCUGCAAGACCACGAGGUGGAGCUAAUCUCAUAAAACCGUUCUCAGUUCGGAUUGUAGGCUGCAACUCGCACUACAUGAAGCUGGAAUCGCUAGUAAUCGCGGAUCAGCAUGCCGCGGUGAAUACGUUCCCGGGCCUUGUACACACACGCACACGUCACAGCACACGAGAGUUUGUAACACACACGAGGUCAGGUGGGGUAACACUUUAUGGAGCCAGCACGCACUAAGGUGGGACAGAUGAUUGGGGUGAAGUCGUAACAAGGUAGCACU